GACGUGCUAAUCUGCGAUAAGCGUCGGUAAGGUGAUAUGAACCGUUAUAACCGGCGAUUUCCGAAUGGGGAAACCCAGUGUGAUUCGUCACACUAUCAUUAACUGAAUCCAUAGGUUAAUGAGGCGAACCGGGGGAACUGAAACAUCUAAGUACCCCGAGGAAAAGAAAUCAACCGAGAUUCCCCCAGUAGCGGCGAGCGAACGGGGAGCAGCCCAGAGCCUGAAUCAGUGUGUGUGUUAGUGGAAGCGUCUGGAAAGGCGUGCGAUACAGGGUGACAGCCCCGUACACAAAAAUGCACAUACUGUGAGCUCGAUGAGUAGGGCGGGACACGUGGUAUCCUGUCUGAAUAUGGGGGGACCAUCCUCCAAGGCUAAAUACUCCUGACUGACCGAUAGUGAACCAGUACCGUGAGGGAAAGGCGAAAAGAACCCCGGCGAGGGGAGUGAAAAAGAACCUGAAACCGUGUACGUACAAGCAGUGGGAGCACGCUUAGGCGUGUGACUGCGUACCUUUUGUAUAAUGGGUCAGCGACUUAUAUUCUGUAGCAAGGUUAACCGAAUAGGGGAGCCGAAGGGAAACCGAGUCUUAACUGGGCGUUAAGUUGCAGGGUAUAGACCCGAAACCCGGUGAUCUAGCCAUGGGCAGGUUGAAGGUUGGGUAACACUAACUGGAGGACCGAACCGACUAAUGUUGAAAAAUUAGCGGAUGACUUGUGGCUGGGGGUGAAAGGCCAAUCAAACCGGGAGAUAGCUGGUUCUCCCCGAAAGCUAUUUAGGUAGCGCCUCGUGAAUUCAUCUCCGGGGGUAGAGCACUGUUUCGGCAAGGGGGUCAUCCCGACUUACCAACCCGAUGCAAACUGCGAAUACCGGAGAAUGUUAUCACGGGAGACACACGGCGGGUGCUAACGUCCGUCGUGAAGAGGGAAACAACCCAGACCGCCAGCUAAGGUCCCAAAGUCAUGGUUAAGUGGGAAACGAUGUGGGAAGGCCCAGACAGCCAGGAUGUUGGCUUAGAAGCAGCCAUCAUUUAAAGAAAGCGUAAUAGCUCACUGGUCGAGUCGGCCUGCGCGGAAGAUGUAACGGGGCUAAACCAUGCACCGAAGCUGCGGCAGCGACGCUUAUGCGUUGUUGGGUAGGGGAGCGUUCUGUAAGCCUGUGAAGGUGUGCUGUGAGGUAUGCUGGAGGUAUCAGAAGUGCGAAUGCUGACAUAAGUAACGAUAAAGCGGGUGAAAAGCCCGCUCGCCGGAAGACCAAGGGUUCCUGUCCAACGUUAAUCGGGGCAGGGUGAGUCGACCCCUAAGGCGAGGCCGAAAGGCGUAGUCGAUGGGAAACAGGUUAAUAUUCCUGUACUUGGUGUUACUGCGAAGGGGGGACGGAGAAGGCUAUGUUGGCCGGGCGACGGUUGUCCCGGUUUAAGCGUGUAGGCUGGUUUUCCAGGCAAAUCCGGAAAAUCAAGGCCGAGGCGUGAUGACGAGGCACUACGGUGCUGAAGCAACAAAUGCCCUGCUUCCAGGAAAAGCCUCUAAGCAUCAGGUAACAUCAAAUCGUACCCCAAACCGACACAGGUGGUCAGGUAGAGAAUACCAAGGCGCUUGAGAGAACUCGGGUGAAGGAACUAGGCAAAAUGGUGCCGUAACUUCGGGAGAAGGCACGCUGAUACGUAGGUGAAGCGACUUGCUCGUGGAGCUGAAAUCAGUCGAAGAUACCAGCUGGCUGCAACUGUUUAUUAAAAACACAGCACUGUGCAAACACGAAAGUGGACGUAUACGGUGUGACGCCUGCCCGGUGCCGGAAGGUUAAUUGAUGGGGUUAGCGCAAGCGAAGCUCUUGAUCGAAGCCCCGGUAAACGGCGGCCGUAACUAUA
rnacentral:rRNA from 1 species